rnacentral:rRNA from 1 species
UACGGAGGGUGCAAGCGUUAUCCGGAUUCACUGGGUUUAAAGGGUGCGUAGGAGGGCAGGUAAGUCAGUGGUGAAAUCUCCAAGCUUAACUUGGAACUGCCGUUGAUACUAUCUGUCUUGAAUACCGUGGAGGUGAGCGGAAUAUGUCAUGUAGCGGUGAAAUGCUUAGAUAUGACAUAGAACACCAAUUGCGAAGGCAGCUCGCUACACGAAUAUUGACUCUGAGGCACGAAAAGCGUGGGGAUCAAAACAGG